UCUUACAGGACUCAAAUGAUGAUGAUCCCAUCACUGACAAUGGCAACCUAGAGCAAGAAGAAAAUGAUUACCGAGGGAAGCAUUGCAAUGGAGGAGAUGAUGAAGUUGAAAAUAUGGGCCAGACUGACAGUGACUAUUUUGGUGAUCGUUUACCACAAACUUAUAAUGGCAGGAAGAGGGAGGUUGUGGGCAGAAGAACAUCAUUUAUGGGGCCUGUUCACAAUAACAUGCAUGGAAGGAGAUGGAAUUUUACCCUUCCCUCCUGAAGCACCCAUGCAAUACCAUCCUGGUUCUAAAGGGCGGUCCCAUACAUACAUACCCUACAGGCGGCAUGUAUGGUACACCGCAUGAAGAAAGGGAGCCACCAGAUGCAGCACAUGAUUGAUAGAUACCGCGCUGGAACUGCUGAGCAUGGACAUGAUCAGGUACCGAAUCCAAGGGAACGCGUAAACAGAUUCCAGGAUAGUCAGAAGGAGAAAUCAGGGGAAAGUAGUGAUCGCAAACAGACUCCAGAGUCUUCCCCUAUCACAGAAAAGGCUGCUAAUUAGGAGUCUAGUGUGGAACCUAUAGAUACCAUGCCCCAUGAUCUUGUUUUGGCUGAUAGAAGCACUGAAGCAGAUGGGGAGGAAAUGGCUACCGAGUCAGUAGUCCCAAGUGAUACCAUCGGAGAUGGGAACCUGCUAAAUACUGUUGA